rnacentral:misc_RNA from 1 species
CCCUCGGGUUUAUGACCCGGGGUGGACUUGGACUUGGGCGUCUGCCAGCUAAUGGCUCGCCUCAAAAGACUUAGUGGGAACAGCAUCCACGGCCUGACGUAAUAAGUUUCGUCUGGUCCGGUGUGAGGCCCGCUCAUAACCUGCCAUCGCGCACUUCUGACUCUGACCUCAAAUCAGGUAGGGCUACCCGCUGAACUUAA